GGGAAGAAGGUGUUACCGAAGCUUAGGAAGUGGGAUCACCGGGAAAGAUUAGGAAGUGGGAUCACCGGGAAAGAGCGGUAGCCACAGAGGGAUGCGCACGCUGCCAGAACUUCAGUGCUGAAAGCUGGAGGAAGCUGAAAAGAAAUAACUUUCUCUCUCGCCUCUCGCCUCGGGUUUUCUGCCAGUUCCUCCCACUGAGAAAACUCAACUGGAAACUUAAAGGUGUCAGAGGAGGGCAUCCAAGUGACUUGUCAUUUUCUGCCCUGGAAUUCUGACUAACAUGAGGUCAUCAAUAUAGUGGACCAAUAUGACCUGUCGAGGAAUGUCCAGAUGAUCAACUUACCUCUUUUUAAUGGCAUCAGUUCAGUUCAGUUCAGUCGCUCAGUCGUGUCCGACUCUUUGCGACCCCAUGAAUUGCAGCAUGCCAGGCCUCCCUGUCCAUCACCAACUCCUGGAGUUCACUCAGACUCACGUCCAUCGAGUCCGUGAUGCCAUCCAGCCAUCUCAUCCUCUGUCGUCCCCUUCUCCUCCUGCCCCCAAUCCCUCCCAGCAUCAGAGUCUUUUCCAAUGAGUCAACUCUUCGCAUGAGGUGGCCAAAGUACUGGAGUUUCAGCUUUAGCAUCAUUCCUUCC
ensembl:lncRNA